AUUGAACGCUGGCGGCAUGCCUUACACAUGCAAGUCGAACGGCAGCGGACCUUCGGGUGCCGGCGAGUGGCGAACGGGUGAGUAAUGUAUCGGAACGUACCUUUCAGUGGGGGAUAACGUAGCGAAAGUUACGCUAAUACCGCAUAUUCUGUGAGCAGGAAAGCAGGGGAUCGCAAGACCUUGCGCUGAUUGAGCGGCCGAUAUCAGACUAGCUAGUUGGUGAGGUAAAGGCUCACCAAGGCGACGAUCUGUAGCGGGUCUGAGAGGAUGAUCCGCCACACUGGAACUGAGACACGGUCCAGACUCCUACGGGAGGCAGCAGUGGGGAAUUUUGGACAAUGGGGGCAACCCUGAUCCAGCCAUGCCGCGUGAGUGAAGAAGGCCUUCGGGUUGUAAAGCUCUUUCGUCCGGGAAGAAAUCGCAUCAGCUAAUACCUGGUGUGGAUGACGGUACCGGAAUAAGAAGCACCGGCUAACUACGUGCCAGCCGCCGCAGUAACAC
rnacentral:rRNA from 1 species